GAUGAAGAACGUAGCGAAAUGCGAUACGUAGUGUGAAUUGCAGAAUUCAGUGAAUCAUCGAAUCUUUGAACGCACAUUGCACCUCUCGGUAUUCCGGGAGGUAUGCCUGUUCGAGCGUCAUUUGUACCCUCAAGCUCUGCUUGGUGUUGGGUGUUUGUUCCGCCUCUGUGUGUGAACUCGCCUCAAAACAAUUGGCAGCCGGCGUACUUGUUUCGGAGCGCAGCACAUUUUGCGAUCGAGAUCAACGUACAGCGGCAUCCAAGAAGCCUUAUUUAACGCUCUUGACCUCGGAUCAGGUAGGGAUACCCGCUGAACUUAAGCAUAUCAAUAAGCGGAGGA
rnacentral:misc_RNA from 1 species